rnacentral:rRNA from 2 species
UACAUGCAAGUCGAACGAGUUCUCGUUGAUGAUCGGUGCUUGCACCGAGAUUCAACAUGGAACGAGUGGCGGACGGGUGAGUAACACGUGGGUAACCUGCCCUUAAGUGGGGGAUAACAUUUGGAAACAGAUGCUAAUACCGCAUAGAUCCAAGAACCGCAUGGUUCUUGGCUGAAAGAUGGCGUAAGCUAUCGCUUUUGGAUGGACCCGCGGCGUAUUAGCUAGUUGGUGAGGUAAUGGCUCACCAAGGCGAUGAUACGUAGCCGAACUGAGAGGUUGAUCGGCCACAUUGGGACUGAGACACGGCCCAAACUCCUACGGGAGGCAGCAGUAGGGAAUCUUCCACAAUGGACGCAAGUCUGAUGGAGCAACGCCGCGUGAGUGAAGAAGGCUUUCGGGUCGUAAAACUCUGUUGUUGGAGAAGAAUGGUCGGCAGAGUAACUGUUGUCGGCGUGACGGUAUCCAACCAGAAAGCCACGGCUAACUACGUGCCAGCAGCCGCGGUAAUACGUAGGUGGCAAGCGUUAUCCGGAUUUAUUGGGCGUAAAGCGAGCGCAGGCGGUUUUUUAAGUCUGAUGUGAAAGCCCUCGGCUUAACCGAGGAAGCGCAUCGGAAACUGGGAAACUUGAGUGCAGAAGAGGACAGUGGAACUCCAUGUGUAGCGGUGAAAUGCGUAGAUAUAUGGAAGAACACCAGUGGCGAAGGCGGCUGUCUGGUCUGUAACUGACGCUGAGGCUCGAAAGCAUGGGUAGCGAACAGG